rnacentral:rRNA from 1 species
CAUGCAGUCGACGAUGAUCUCCCGCUUGCGGGGGUGAUUAGUGGCGAACGGGUGAGUAAUACGUGAGUAACCUGCCCUUGACUCUGGGAUAAGCCUGGGAAACCGGGUCUAAUACUGGAUACGACUUCUCAUCGCAUGGUGGGGGGUGGAAAGGGUUUGACUGGUUUUGGAUGGGCUCACGGCCUAUCAGCUUGUUGGUGGGGUAAUGGCUCACCAAGGCGACUACGGGUAGCCGGCCUGAGAGGGUGACCGGCCACACUGGGACUGAGACACGGCCCAGACUCCUACGGGAGGCAGCAGUGGGGAAUAUUGCACAAUGGGCGGAAGCCUGAUGCAGCGACGCCGCGUGAGGGAUGACGGCCUUCGGGUUGUAAACCUCUUUCAGCAGGGAAGAAGCCACAAGUGACGGUACCUGCAGAAGAAGCGCCGGCUAACUACGUGCCAGCAGCCGCGGUAAUACGUAGGGCGCAAGCGUUGUCCGGAAUUAUUGGGCGUAAAGAGCUCGUAGGCGGUUUGUCGCGUCUGCUGUGAAAGCCCGGGGCUCAACCCCGGGUCUGCAGUGGGUACGGGCAGACUAGAGUGCAGUAGGGGAGACUGGAAUUCCUGGUGUAGCGGUGAAAUGCGCAGAUAUCAGGAGGAACACCGAUGGCGAAGGCAGGUCUCUGGGCUGUUACUGACGCUGAGGAGCGAAAGCAUGGGGAGCGAACAGGAUUAGAUACCCUGGUAGUCCAUGCCGUAAACGUUGGGCACUAGGUGUGGGGGACAUUCCACGUUCUCCGCGCCGUAGCUAACGCAUUAAGUGCCCCGCCUGGGGAGUACGGCCGCAAGGCUAAAACUCAAAGGAAUUGACGGGGGCCCGCACAAGCGGCGGAGCAUGCGGAUUAAUUCGAUGCAACGCGAAGAACCUUACCAAGGCUUGACAUUCACCGGACCGCCCCAGAGAUGGGGUUUCCCUUCGGGGUCGGUGGACAGGUGGUGCAUGGUUGUCGUCAGCUCGUGUCGUGAGAUGUUGGGUUAAGUCCCGCAACGAGCGCAACCCUCGUUCUAUGUUGCCAGCACGUGAUGGUGGGGACUCAUAGGAGACUGCCGGGGUCAACUCGGAGGAAGGUGGGGAUGACGUCAAAUCAUCAUGCCCCUUAUGUCUUGGGCUUCACGCAUGCUACAAUGGCCGGUACAAAGGGUUGCGAUACUGUGAGGUGGAGCUAAUCCCAAAA